GGAAGUGUGCCCGAGAUUAGGGACUACUUUGAUAGAGUAAAUACAGAGACAAAACCUCUCUCUUCC
rnacentral:tRNA from 1 species